rnacentral:rRNA from 1 species
UGGGGAAUAUUGGACAAUGGGCGAAAGCCUGAUCCAGCCAUGCCGCGUGUGUGAAGAAGGUCUUCGGAUUGUAAAGCACUUUAAGUUGGGAGGAAGGGCAGUAAGCGAAUACCUUGCUGUUUUGACGUUACCGACAGAAUAAGCACCGGCUAACUCUGUGCCAGCAGCCGCGGUAAUACAGAGGGUGCAAGCGUUAAUCGGAAUUACUGGGCGUAAAGCGCGCGUAGGUGGUUCGUUAAGUUGAAUGUGAAAGCCCCGGGAUCAACCUGGGAACUGCAUCCAAAACUGGCGAGCUAGAGUAGGGCAGAGGGUGGGGGAAUUUCCUGUGUAGCGGUGAAAUGCGUAGGUAUAGGAAGGAACACCAGUGGCGAAGGCGAACACCUGGGCUCAUACUGACACUGAGGUGCGAAAGCGUGGGGAGCAAACAGG